rnacentral:rRNA from 1 species
AUUGAACGCUGGCGGCAUGCCUAACACAUGCAAGUCGAACGGCAGCACGGGAGCAAUCCUGGUGGCGAGUGGCGAACGGGUGAGUAAUACAUCGGAACGUGCCCAGCAGUGGGGGAUAACCUGGCGAAAGCCGGACUAAUACCGCAUACGACCAACGGGUGAAAGCGGGGGAUCGCAAGACCUCGCGCCAUCGGAGCGGCCGAUGUGAGAUUAGCUAGUUGGGGGGGUAAAGGCUUACCAAGGCGACGAUCUGUAGCUGGGCUGAGAGGACGACCAGCCACACUGGGACUGAGACACGGCCCAGACUCCUACGGGAGGCAGCAGUGGGGAAUUUUGCGCAAUGGGCGCAAGCCUGAUCCAGCCAUGCCGCGUGCGGGAAGAAGGCCUUCGGGUUGUAAACCGCUGUUGUCAGGGAAGAAACGCUCCGGGCUAAUCCCACGGGGUAAUGACGGUACCUGAAGAAUAAGCACCGGCUAACUACGUG